UAUGUGAUCGUCUCUCGCAUAUCAAUAAGCGGAGGAAAAGAAACUAACAAGGAUUCCCCUAGUAACGGCGAGUGAAGCGGGAAGAGCUCAAAUUUGAAAUCUUAAAGGGUUUCCCUUUACGAAUUGUAGUUUAAAGAAGUGUUUUCUGUUGAGGUUUUGGUAAAAGUUCUUUGGAAUAGGACAUCAUAGAGGGUGAGAAUCCCGUAUUUGACCUUUACUUUCAACUUUGUGAUACACUUUCAAAGAGUCGGAUUGUUUGGGAAUGCAGUCCAAAAUGGGUGGUAAAUUUCAUCUAAAGCUAAAUAUUGGCGAGAGACCGAUAGCGAACAAGUACCGUGAGGGAAGGAUGAAAAGAACUUUGAAAAGAGAGUUAAACAGUACGUGAAAUUGUCAAAAGGGAAGCGUUUGACACCAGUGUUGUUUUUCUGAAAAUCAAUUAAAGAACUGUUUAUGCUAGCUGUUUAGACUUUAUCAGCUAAUCUGUUUAGUUUUGAGCUUUUCUUUAAUGCACUUUUCAGUUAACAAGUCAACAUCAAUUCCUUUUGCUGUAAAAAAGCUUGAGGAAGGUGGCUUGAGAUUCGUCUUAAGUGUUUAUAGCCUCUUGCCUAUGCAGUCGGAGAGAUUGAGGUCUGCAGCGUAGAUCCUUCGGGGCUAAAUGCAUUUGUGCUAAGUUAUAGCAUUUUAUAGACAACUUGUUGACUAUGAUUUGUCUUGUAGCUUACUCGCUUAUGUUAUUUUACCUACGCUUAGGAUGUUGAGCGCAUGUCUCUCUCU
rnacentral:rRNA from 1 species